ACCUUCGGGCCUCUUGCCAUCAGAUGUGCCCAGAUGGGAUUAGCUUGUUGGUGAGGUAACGGCUCACCAAGGCGACGAUCCCUAGCUGGUCUGAGAGGAUGACCAGCCACACUGGAACUGAGACACGGUCCAGACUCCUACGGGAGGCAGCAGUGGGGAAUAUUGCACAAUGGGCGCAAGCCUGAUGCAGCCAUGCCGCGUGUAUGAAGAAGGCCUUCGGGUUGUAAAGUACUUUCAGCGGGGAGGAAGGUGUUGUGGUUAAUAACCGCAGCAAUUGACGUUACCCGCAGAAGAAGCACCGGCUAACUCCGUGCCAGCAGCCGCGGUAAUACGGAGGGUGCAAGCGUUAAUCGGAAUUACUGGGCGUAAAGCGCACGCAGGCGGUCUGUCAAGUCGGAUGUGAAAUCCCCGGGCUCAACCUGGGAACUGCAUUCGAAACUGGCAGGCUUGAGUCUUGUAGAGGGGGGUAGAAUUCCAGGUGUAGCGGUGAAAUGCGUAGAGAUCUGGAGGAAUACCGGUGGCGAAGGCGGCCCCCUGG
rnacentral:rRNA from 1 species